rnacentral:rRNA from 1 species
CUACGUGCCAGCAGCCGCGGUAAUACGUAGGGUGCGAGCGUUAAUCGGAAUUACUGGGCGUAAAGCGAGCGCAGACGGUUACUUAAGCAGGAUGUGAAAUCCCCGGGCUCAACCUGGGAACUGCGUUCUGAACUGGGUAGCUAGAGUAUGUCAGAGGGGGGUAGAAUUCCACGUGUAGCAGUGAAAUGCGUAGAGAUGUGGAGGAAUACCGAUGGCGAAGGCAGCCCCCUGGGAUAAUACUGACGUUCAUGCUCGAAAGCGUGGGUAGCAAACAGGAUUAGAUACCCUGGUAGUCCACGCCCUAAACGAUGUCGAUUAGCUGUUGGGCAGCUUGACUGCUUAGUAGCGUAGCUAACGCGUGAAAUCGACCGCCUGGGGAGUACGGUCGCAAGAUUAAAACUCAAAGGAAUUGACGGGGACCCGCACAAGCGGUGGAUGAUGUGGAUUAAUUCGAUGCAACGCGAAGAACCUUACCKGUCUUGACAU